GAUCAAGUGUCUUAAGGGCAAUUGGUGGAUGCCUUGGCAUGCACAGGCGAUGAAGGACGUGAUACGCUGCGAUAAGCUACGGGGAGGUGCGAAUACCCUUUGAUCCGUAGAUUUCCGAAUGGGGAAACCCACCUAAGGUGCUUGGAAAAUCAGAGUAGCAGGGCAACCUGCUGCUGUGGUUUCCAAGUAUCGAUAAUAGGUAACUUACCCUGAAUAAAAUAGGGGUAAAGUGGCGAACGCGGGGAACUGAAACAUCUAAGUACCCGUAGGAAAGGACAUCAACCGAGACUCCGGCAGUAGUGGCGAGCGAACCCGGACCAGGCCAGUGGCGAUGAUGAGACAAGCGGAACCUUCUGGAAAGUAGGGCCAUAGUGGGUGACAGCCCCGUACGCGUAAUGCAAAUCAUCGUCCUCGAGUAAGGCGGGACACGUGAAAUCCUGUCUGAAAUUGGGGGGACCACCCUCCAAGCCUAAGUACUCGUGCAUGACCGAUAGCGAACUAGUACCGUGAGGGAAAGGUGAAAAGCACCCCGACAAGGGGAGUGAAAGAGUACCUGAAACCGAUUGCCUACAAACAGUGGGAGUCCAAGGUUCGUCCUGGGUGACCACGUACCUUUUGUAUAAUGGGUCAGCGACUUAGUGUGACGAGCAAGCUUAAACCGCUAGGUGUAGGCGCAGCGAAAGCGAGUCUGAACAGGGCGUUCAGUUCGUCGCAUUAGACCCGAAACCGAGUGAUCUAGCCAUGAGCAGGUUGAAGGUAAGGUAACACUUACUGGAGGACCGAACCCAUAACUGUUGCAAUAGUUCGGGAUGACUUGUGGCUAGGGGUGAAAGGCCAAUCAAACUCGGAAAUAGCUGGUUCUCCGCGAAAUCUAUUUAGGUAGAGCGUCGACCGAAUACCCCAGGGGGUAGAGCACUGGAUGGGCUAGGGGUCCUCACCGGAUUACCAAACCUAACCAAACUCCGAAUACCUGGGAGUACUAGUCGGCAGACACACGGCGGGUGCUAACGUCCGUCGUGAAAAGGGAAACAACCCUGACCUACAGCUAAGGUCCCCAAGUUAUGGCUAAGUGGGAAAGGAUGUGAGGAUCCCAAAACAACCAGGAUGUUGGCUUAGAAGCAGCCAUCAUUUAAAGAAAGCGUAACAGCUCACUGGUCUAAAUAAGGGUCUUUGCGCCGAAAAUGUAACGGGGCUCAAGCCAUACACCGAAGCUUAGGGUUUGCAGCAAUGCAAGCGGUAGCGGAGCGUUCUGUAAGCUGAUGAAGCCAUACCCGUGAGGGGUGGUGGAGGUAUCAGAAGUGCGAAUGCUGACAUGAGUAACGUAAGGGGAGUGAGAGACUCCCCCGCCGAAAGUCCAAGGGUUCCUGCUUAAAGCUAAUCUGAGCAGGGUUAGCCGGCCCCUAAGUCGAGGCAGAAAUGCGUAGACGAUGGGAACCACGUUAAUAUUCGUGGGCCUGGAGGAAGUGACGGAUCAUUGAGGUAGUCCAAUCUUAUCGGAUUGAAAGGGCUGCUGCGUGGUUCCAGGAAAUAGCUCCUCCUUAUAGACCGUACCCGAAACCGACACUGGUGGACUGGUAGAGUAUACCAAGGCGCUUGAGAGAACUAUGCUGAAGGAACUCGGCAAAUUGCACGCGUAACUUCGGAAGAAGCGUGACCCUUUUCCACGCAAGUGGAGGAGGGUGGCACAGACCAGGGGGUAGCGACUGUUUAUCAAAAACACAGGGCUCUGCGAAGUCGCAAGACGACGUAUAGGGUCUGACGCCUGCCCGGUGCUGGAAGGUUAAGAGGAGGGGUGCAAGCUCUGAAUCGAAGCCCCAGUAAACGGCGGCCGUAACUAUAACGGUCCUAAGGUAGCGAAAUUCCUUGUCGGGUAAGUUCCGACCUGCACGAAUGGCGUAACGACUUCCCCGCUGUCUCCAGCAUAGACUCAGUGAAAUUGAAUUCCCCGUGAAGAUGCGGGGUUCCUGCGGUUAGACGGAAAGACCCCGUGCACCUUUACUAUAGCUUUACAUUGGCAUUCGUAGUGGCAUGUGUAGGAUAGGUGGUAGGCUUUGAAACCUGGGCGCCAGCUCAGGUGGAGCCACCCUUGAAAUACCACCCUUAUCACUAUGGAUGUCUAACCGCGGCCCGUUAUCCGGGUCCGGGACAAUGUAUGGUGGGUAGUUUGACUGGGGCGGUCGCCUCCUAAAGAGUAACGGAGGCGCGCGAUGGUGGGCUCAGAACGGUCGGAAAUCGUUCGCUGAGUGCAAUGGCAUAAGCCUGCCUGACUGCGAGACUGACAAGUCGAGCAGAGACGAAAGUCGGUCAUAGUGAUCCGGUGGUCCCGCGUGGAAGGGCCAUCGCUCAACGGAUAAAAGGUACGCCGGGGAUAACAGGCUGAUGACCCCCAAGAGUCCAUAUCGACGGGGUUGUUUGGCACCUCGAUGUCGACUCAUCGCAUCCUGGGGCUGGAGCAGGUCCCAAGGGUAUGGCUGUUCGCCAUUUAAAGCGGUACGUGAGUUGGGUUCAGAACGUCGUGAGACAGUUCGGUCCCUAUCUGCCGUGGGUGUAGGAAUAUUGAAAGGAUCUGUCCCUAGUACGAGAGGACCGGGAUGGACGGAUCUCUGGUGGACCUGUUGUGGCGCCAGCCGCAUAGCAGGGUAGCUAUAUCCGGACGGGAUAACCGCUGAAGGCAUCUAAGCGGGAAACCCACCUUAAAACGAGUAUUCCCUGAGAACCGUGGAAGACGACCACGUUGAUAGGCCGGGUGUGGAAGAGCGGCAACGCUUGAAGCUUACCGGUACUAAUAGUUCGAUCGGCUUGAUCGUUCUCAUU
rnacentral:rRNA from 1 species